rnacentral:rRNA from 1 species
CAGCAGCCGCGGUAAUACGGAGGGAGCUAGCGUUGUUCGGAAUUACUGGGCGUAAAGCGCGCGUAGGCGGUUACUCAAGUCAGAGGUGAAAGCCCGGGGCUCAACCCCGGAACUGCCUUUGAAACUAGGUGACUAGAAUCUUGGAGAGGUCAGUGGAAUUCCGAGUGUAGAGGUGAAAUUCGUAGAUAUUCGGAAGAACACCAGUGGCGAAGGCGACUGACUGGACAAGUAUUGACGCUGAGGUGCGAAAGCGUGGGGAGCAAACAGGAUUAGAUACCCCCGUAGUCCCUGUCUCUUAUAA